rnacentral:rRNA from 1 species
UACGUACGAGGCGAGCGUUAUCCGGAAUUACUGGGCGUAAAGCGCGCGCAGGUGGCCUGCUAAGUCAGAUGUGAAAUCUCCCGGCCCAACUGGGAGCGGCCAUUUGAUACUGGUGAGCUUGAGGGCAGCAGAGGUCGGUGGAAUUCCUGGUGUAGUGGUGAAAUGCGUAGAGAUCAGGAGGAACACCGGUGGCGAAGGCGGCCGACUUGGCUGCCUCUGACGCUGAGGCGCGAAAGCUCGGGGAGCGAACGGG